UAGUCCUUUGAACCGAUAAGACGGUUGCUUCGUGCCCGCGACUGUUCCUCCAUCAAUCGCCGAGAGAGAGAGAGAGAAAAUCAUCGCGAGAUUAUGGCCCGCGGUCGUUUUAGCGGGCGGCGAGCGACAGAUUCAGGUUCCGCGGCCCAAUAAACUCAACUUUCGGGAUUCUUGGAAAGAAGAGAUGCCUGCUCGUCGAUCGAUAAUUGGUCGAUCGUUAGCCGGAUACCUCGCCGCGGUGUGCAUCGUGUCGUUGCCGACGAGCUUCGCGCAAGUGGAAGGAAGAAAGUGCGUGUGCACGAGCAAAGCCUGCAAGGAAGCCGGCAUCGAUACUUGUAAAACGAGAUUCUUCUGUUACACCGAACGCAUUCUGACAACGGGACAAGAAAUUGGUGAAAGUACGGUCACAAGAGGAUGCACUGAGGGUGCCACGCCAUUGUUGUGCGAGACAAAGUCCUGGGUCACGAGGUCGCGAUCGGUCAACGCCAUGGAAUCACCGGCCGGUCCUCGGGUUCUCGUGCCCUGGCCCAAAUUAAAAUGCUGCGACAACCGCGACUAUUGCAACGCUGCUGACGAUGACGAUGACGACGAAGAUGACGACGAUGGCGAUGGCGACGUGGGGAGCACAUGGAAAAAGACGCAGACGGAGCGGACGCGUUCCGCGAUGGAUCGCGAGAUGCUGGAUCAUGGUCCAGUGAAUCGCGAUGCGACGCCGACCAUGCAGCCUAAUCGCAAGUACGACGAUUCGGCGGAAUCGGUCGAUGGACUUUUACGGAAUCGCGUUAGGGCGCUGCACGUCGCCGCUCUUGUCCUCGCCAUCGCGGCCCUCAUAUCGGUCCUGGCAUCCUGCUACGUGGUUACAAGAUUCCUGAAAAGCAAUCGUUAUGUAAUGGACGCUGUAAAUUACUCGUGAAUAUGAUGUCGAGACUUAUUUAACAUUGUGAUUCUACGGUCUAAUUGUGGUCUUUCCUCCAGUGGGAUGAAAUUAGGAUAUAGGAAUAACUGGAUACUGGGGAGGUCUUGGGGAAAAGAGCCACGUCACACCCGUGACGGACGAUUCGGGGAUACGAGAUCCGAGAUCCGACGUACGUGUAUUUAACGAAGCUUCCUGAAGAGCAAACCAACUCCACCGCACGCUCUAGAGUCCUUUGUUCUACAUCGUAUGACUAACGGGCGAUGUAGCUCGCAUUCUUCGCCGCCGUCGAGCGAGACCCCUCGAGGGACGCCCAGUGUAUGCCAGGUGAACCGGGCCCCACCGAUCCCGCGCGCCCGGCCCUCGGCCCCCGGUUUCAACGUAAUUAGUCAUCCUCCUCCAGGUUGCUCGACACAUACACGUACACGCAUCCUGCCAAACGAUCAAACGAAUAACGGCAGAGAAAAUAACGUGCACCCGAAACGCUAUGUCAUCGUGAGAAAGAGAAAGAGCGGGGUUCCAUCUAACAUAAAUAAAUUGAUGAAGAGAGCAACGUCGUAAGCAACGACGCGCGCGAAUACAGUGAAUCCUCUGUAAGUCUAGCCGUCUAGCGUAAUCGCGCGUCGAGGUUUUUCAGAUUGGCGUGCUGGAUAUGUGUAAAGCUACCAGAAGAUGUCAAGAAUAUAUGCGUCACGGCUCUCAGUAUCUCAAAUACGUCGAAAAUCAUAUAUUGUACGCAAAAUUGAAAACGCAUUGCAUAUUUCGAGAGAGUAUGAGUUUAUUCUACGCAAUGAUUUUAAUUAACGAUGUAAAAUCAUAUAACACUGAUGGAUUAAAAAUUGAAAACUUUGCAAAGUUCUAAGAGGGGAUGCUUAUAUCUAUAUAAUUAGGGACAUAUGAAAAACUGGUACAAUUUAUUUGAAAUUUUAACAUACAAUUUUAAAGUCUAAGUCUAUAUAAGA